rnacentral:rRNA from 1 species
AACGAACGCUGGCGGCAGGCUUAACACAUGCAAGUCGAACGCAUCCUUCGGGGUGAGUGGCAGACGGGUGAGUACGCGUGGGAACGUGCCCUUCAGUUCGGGAUAACCCAGGGAAACUUGGGCUAAUACCGGAUACGUGCGAGAGCAGAAAGAUUUAUCGCUGAAGGAUCGGCCCGCGUCUGAUUAGCUAGUUGGUGGGGUAAUGGCCCACCAAGGCGACGAUCAGUAGCUGGUCUGAGAGGAUGAUCAGCCACAUUGGGACUGAGACACGGCCCAAACUCCUACGGGAGGCGGCAGUGGGGAAUAUUGCACAAUGGGCGCAAGCCUGAUGCAGCGACGCCGCGUGAGGGAUGACGGCCUUCGGGUUGUAAACCUCUUUCAGCACCGACGAAGCGCAAGUGACGGUAGGUGCAGAAGAAGGACCGGCCAACUACGUGCCAGCCGCCGCGGUAA